rnacentral:tRNA from 1 species
GGGCCUAUAGUCCAGUGGCAGAACGCCUCCAUGGCAUGGAGGAGUCCCGGGUUCGAUUCCCGGUAGGUCCA